CGGUGAGCAAUCUGCCUUGGAGUGGGGAAUAACGGUUGGAAACAGCCGCUAAUACCGCAUGAUACAGCUAUCCCGCAUGGGGUUGGCUGUCAAAGAUUUAUCGACUCUGAGAUGAGCUCGCGUCUGAUUAGCUUGUUGGCGGGGGUAACGGCCCACCAAGGCGACGAUCAGUAGCCGGACUGAGAGGUUGGCCGGCCACAUUGGGACUGAGACACGGCCCAGACUCCUACGGGAGGCAGCAG
rnacentral:rRNA from 1 species